CGCGCGGUUCUAUUUUGUUGGUUUCUAGGACCGCCGUAAUGAUUAAUAGGGACAGUCGGGGGCAUCCGUAUUCAGUAGUCAGAGGUGAAAUUCUUGGAUCUACUGAAGACGAACUACUGCGAAAGCAUUUGCCAAGGAUGUUUUCAUUAAUCAGGAACGAAAGUUGGGGGAUCGAAGACGAUCAGAUACCGUCGUAGUCCCAACCGUAAACUAUGCCGACUAGGGAUCGGGCGGUGUUAUUCUUUGACCCGCUCGGCACCUUGCACGAAAGUACAAGUUUUUGGGUUCUGGGGGGAGUAUGGUCGCAAGGCUGAAACUUAAAGAAAUUGACGGAAGGGCACCACCAGGGGUGGAGCCUGCGGCUUAAUUUGACUCAACACGGGGAAACUCACCAGGUCCAGACACGAUGAGGAUUGACAGAUUGAGAGCUCUUUCUUGAUUUCGUGGGUGGUGGUGCAUGGCCGUUCUUAGUUGGUGGAGUGAUUUGUCUGCUUAAUUGCGAUAACGAACGAGACCUUAACCUGCUAACUAGCCCGUAUUGCUUUGGCAGUACGCCGGCUUCUUAGAGGGACUAUCGGCUCAAGCCGAUGGAAGUUUGAGGCAAUAACAGGUCUGUGAUGCCCUUAGAUGUUCUGGGCCGCACGCGCGCUACACUGACACAGCCAGCGAGUCCUUCCUUGGCCGAGAGGCCCGGGUAAUCUUGUUAAACUGUGUCGUGCUGGGGAUAGAGCAUUGCAAUUAUUGCUCUUCAACGAGGAAUCCCUAGUAAGCGCAAGUCAUCAGCUUGCGUUGAUUACGUCCCUGCCCUUUGUACACACCGCCCGUCGCUACUACCGAUUGAAUGGCUCAGUGAGGCGUCCGGACUGGCCCCAGGCGGUCGGCAACGACCACCCAGGGCCGGAAAGCUCUCCAAACUCGGUCAUUUAGAGGAAGUAAAAGUCGUAACAAGGUCUCCGUUGGUGAACCAGCGGAGGGAUCAUUACCGGGAAAGCGCCGCAAGGCCGAACCCAACCCAACCCUUUGUGAACCUUACCCAAGGAAAAAACAUGUUGCUUCGGCAGGCGGCCCCGCUGGGGGGGGCCAGCCGCCCGGCGCGCGAUACAGCCGGGCGCCUGCCAGGGGCCCAACAGAAUUGCAUCUCCCAGAGACAGACAUCUCGAGAAAACUUUUAUUGAAAAACCGAUACAACCUUCAACAGUGGAUCUCUUGGUUCCGGCAUCGAUGAAGAACGCAGCGAAAUGCGAUACGUAAUGUGAAUUGCAGAGUACAGUGAACCAUCGAAUCUUUGAACGCACAUUGCGCCCGCCGGCAUUCCGGCGGGCAUGCCUGUCCGAGCGUCGCCUCCACCCUCGAGCCCCCGUCGGCUCGGCGUUGGGGCGCUACGCGAAACCCGCGUACGCCCCCAAAAGCAGUGGCGGGCCCGCCGGCACUCCCGGGCGCAGUAGGAAAGCCGCAAGGCGCCCCCUCGCCCCCGGAGCCGCCGCGGGAACCCCCGGCCAUCAAAAGCCCCAACUUCUCUUACAAGUUGACCUCGGAUCAGGUAGGAAGACCCGCUGAACUUAAGCAUAUCAAUAAGCGGAGGAAAAGAAACCAACAGGGAUUGCCUCAGUAGCGGCGAGCGAAGCGGCAACAGCUCAGAUUUGAAAUCUGGCCCCCGCCGCGGGGGCCCGAGUUGUAAUCUGCAGAGGAAGCCUUCGGCGAGGCGGCGGCCUAAGUCCCCUGGAACGGGGCGCCACAGAGGGUGAGAGCCCCGUGAGGCCGCCCGCCGAGCCAUUGUAAGGCCCCUUCGACGAGUCGAGUAGUUUGGGAAUGCUGCUCAAAAUGGGAGGUAUACUCCUUCUAAAGCUAAAUACAGGCCGGAGACCGAUAGCGCACAAGUAGCGUGAGCGAAAGAUGAAAAGCACUUUGGAAAGAGAGUGAAACAGCACGUGAAACUGUUGAGGGGGAAGCGCUCUCGGCCAGAACGUGCGCCGGGCGGAUCACCUGGGGCUCCGCCCCGGGGCACUCCGCCCGGCGCAGGCCAGCGUCGGUUCUCGCGGCGGGAUAAAGGUGCCGGGAAUGUGGCCCCCCACGGGGGGUGUUAUAGCCCGCGCGCGCAAUGCCGCCGCCGGGGACCGAGGUCCGCGCCCUCGUGGCUAGGACGCUGGCAUAAUGGCCGUCAGUGACCCGUCUUGAAACACGGACCAAGGAGUCAAGCAUUGCUGCGAGUGCUAGGGUGUCAAACCCGUGCGCGCAGUGAAAGCAAACGCAGGAGGGAGCCUCGGCGCACCUCCGACCGAUCCUGAUGUACUCGGAUGGAUUUGAGUAGGAGCAGUUAUGCUUGGACCCGAAAGAUGGUGAACUUUGCGUGGAUAGGGUGAAGCCAGAGGAAACUCUGGUGGAGGCUCGCAGCGGUUCUGACGUGCAAAUCGAUCGUCAAAUCUGCGCAAGGGGGCGAAAGACCAAUCGAACCAUCUAGUAGCUGGUUACCGCCGAAGUUUCCCUCAGGAUAGCAGUGUCGAUCUUCAGUUUUAUGAGGUAAAGCGAAUGAUUAGGGACCCGGGGGCGCUAUUUAGCCUUCAUCCAUUCUCAAACUUUAAAUAUGUAAGAAGCCCUUGUUGCUUAGUUGAACGUGGGCAUUCGAAUGCACGACACUAGUGGGCCAUUUUUGGUAAGCAGAACUGGCGAUGUGGGAUGAACCAUACGCGGGGUUAAGGUGCCGGAGUGGACGCUCAUCGGACACCACAAAAGGCGUUAGUACAUCUUGACAGCAGGACGGUGGCCAUGGAAGUCGGAACCCGCUAAGGAGUGUGUAACAACUCACCUGCCGAAUGUACUAGCCCUGAAAAUGGAUGGCGCUCAAGCGUCCCACCUAUACCCCGCCCCCAGGGUAGAAACGAAGCCCUGGGGAGUAGGCGGCCGUGGGGGUGCGUGACGAAGCCCAGGGCGCGAGCCCGGGUGGAACCGCCUCUAGUGCAGAUCUUGGUGGUAGUAGCAAAUACUUCAAUGAGAACUUGAAGGACCGAAGUGGGGAAAGGUUCCACGUGAACAGCGG
rnacentral:rRNA from 1 species